rnacentral:misc_RNA from 1 species
AAAGUGAGGAGUCGAGGUCAUCCGAGGAAUCAAAACCUAGAAGAGAACGCUAUCCGAAAAGUUGGAAACGCGUUCGAUCGGGUGCGAAAAGAUUUUCAAGGUUUAAGAAUGAGAAUAAAUCUUUUGGUCAGGAUUCAUCAGAUCAAAGUGAUUAAACACUAAAAGAACAAUCAUGAAAUAAAGGGACGAAGGUUUAGGGUUUCAUAUUUUUGUAUUAUAUUUUAUUGAAAGAAUCAAUAUCAAUAAAAUUUUAAAACUU